rnacentral:rRNA from 1 species
ACGGGAGGCAGCAGUGAGGAAUAUUGGUCAAUGGGCGGAAGCCUGAACCAGCCAAGUCGCGUGAAGGAUGAAGGUAUUAUGUAUUGUAAACUUCUUUAGACGUAGAGAAAUAAGGCGCUCGUGAGCGCUGAUGCUAGUAUACGUAGAAUAAGGAUCGGCUAACUCCGUGCCAGCAGCCGCGGUAAUACGGAGGAUCCGAGCGUUAUCCGGAUUUAUUGGGUUUAAAGGGUGCGUAGGCGGAAUGCCAAGUCAGCGGUGAAACGCACGCGCUUAACGCGUGACCUGCCGUUGAAACUGGUAAUCUGGAAUACGGAUGCUGUGGGAGGAAUGUGUGGUGUAGCGGUGAAAUGCAUAGAUAUCACACAGAACACCGAUUGCGAAGGCAUCUCACAAAUCCGUCAUUGACGCUGAGGCACGAAAGUGUGGGGAUCAAACAGGAUUAGAUACCCUGGUA